rnacentral:lncRNA from 1 species
AGACAUCUUGGAAGUGUUUAGAUCAUGGACUGUCAUGGCUGAGAGUUUCUGACAGAAAGUUGAAAAAUGCAAAGAUGGAUUUUUAGAAAAUGAGAUGAAGUUGGCUGUUGGUGUUGCUGCUGUAACUGUUGUUAUUGUAAUUUGGAUGCUUUUUUUGACAGAAAACCAGAAGUGCAAAGCCAGGAUCAGGUUUUUAGAGGGUGUGACCAAUGGCCUUUGGCUGCUGUUUGGCAAUGAUGGUGAACAAAAUGCUAUGGUUGGCAAGGCAAGAUUGGUUUGUUAUGUUUGGACAGAAAAAUGGGGAAUCAAAUGGUAAGGUG